rnacentral:rRNA from 1 species
UACGUAGGGUCCGAGCGUUGUCCGGAAUUAUUGGGCGUAAAGGGCUCGUAGGCGGUUUUGUCACGUCGGGAGUGAAAAACUCAGGGCUCAACCCUGAGCGUGCUUCCGAUACGGGCAGACUAGAGGUAUGCAGGGGAGAACGGAAUUCCUGGUGUAGCGGUGGAAUGCGCAGAUAUCAGGAGGAACACCGGUGGCGAAGGCGGUUCUCUGGGCAUUACCUGACGCUGAGGAGCGAAAGCAUGGGGAGCGAACAGG